CCCUUAGAUGUCCUGGGCCGCACGCGCGCUACACUGAGUGCCUGAGAUACGAGUCUGCCUGGUCCGGCAAGGUCUAGGUAAUCGCUAAAAGACACAUCAUGCUUGGGAUAGAUUUUUGCAAAUAUUAAUCUUGAACGAGGAAUUCCUAGUAAGCGCAAGUCAACAGCUUGCGUUGAUUACGUCCCUGCCCUUUGUACACACCGCCCGUCGCUACUACUGAUUGGAUGUUUAAGCGAGGUUCUCGAACUGCUAGCGACUUAGCUUCGGUGAGGUCGCAGUGUGGGAAGUGAACCUAGCUUUGGUGUCUAGAGGAAGUAAAAGUCGUAACA
rnacentral:rRNA from 1 species